ACUCUCAUUAUACUUACCUUAUGGUUUGGUUUUUUUUUCUGGCUAGCAUGCAAAUCUGCCUUGUAAAGAAGUGUUAAUUGAGCCAGGGAGACAAAUGAGGAAUUUGACUUAAUGGAGCGUUUGUGUCAGAUGGAGGUAUCUCAGAUUUGAGUCCCCACUCUGGUAAUUGUUAUACAAAAGGAAACCACCUCUACAAGAACAACAAAGAGAAAUUUUCUUUGUAUGUACUGCAGUUCCCAGGAGACUUUCAAAGGAGCAAAUUCUAAUCUUUUCUCCAAAGCAGGUAACCAGGAUGCACAACAUAGAUGCAUGGGUCUCCGAACUAUCCUGCACUGAAUCUGCCAAUCAAAUGGAUAUAUGUGGAUCUCAAAAGGCCUUACGUAUCUAUUUGGUGGAUCUUGAUUCUUUUUUUUUUUUUCUGACGACACGAAGAAAUGUCUGAUGAAGGGACAUAUUUGUUUCUUCUGAUUAUAAAGUAAAUUUAUGAUAAUCUGUGAUUUUGAGCUAGAUCCCCAAAUUUCAGGAGCCUAAGUGAGGGCAGAUGGAUCUCAACACCCAAAACCUUUGCCGUGAAAUAAUGAUGUCAACUGAGCAUAGAGAUGUGCAAAGUUAUUGUUUGCUGGUUUUUUUUCUUUUAAUAUAUGCAAUACACGAAGAUAAUAAUCUGAUCAAUAAUGUGGCUUUUUAUUUUAUUUUACUUUAUCUAAGAUGCAUUUGAAGCAUCUUAAGAGAUCAUUACAAUUUUCUUUCCCAGUACCUCCUACAGUCAUUUUCAGACACGUUUUGUGAUGGAUUCUGACAUGACAUGGAUGUGGAUGUGAAUGAAGAGUUUUUACCUUGUCCCUGUUUAAAAUAUAGAAGACUAGGAUAGUGUUGUACUUCUAUUUGAAAGUCACAGAAUAUUACAGUACUUUAUACAACACCGAUUGCAACCAACAACCUUAGAUUUAUGCAUUUUUCAAUUUAUUUCACUAUGUGGAAAAAAAAAAAAAAAACCUUUUCUGUGUUAACUUUGUUUUUUUCAGACUCAGGAUCACAUGUUUCUUAACCUUGGAUUGUAUCUCAGCAGUAUUGAUUACUUUAGUGAAUACUUCAUUGCCACUUGUAUAGAUAUUCUGUUCAUUAUAGCAUACUCUCACACUAUAGGCAGGUCAAAGAAACAUUUAUUAUAUAUGCACAGAUACUGAGAAAUGAAGUUGUCAGCAUCAUUCAGUAUGUCACAUAAAUAUUUCCCUUAAGAAUUAUCUUCUUCUUUGCGGAGUUCUUUAUUUGUAUUCAUAAGUAUGUCUCCCUUCUGAUAAAAAACAAGAUUAUAUAAAUUCUGUUUUCCCCCAGUGUCUGCAAAACAUUCUAAUACACAGUGCUCUGCAGUUUCUCUAUUAUGUACUUCCUUCACUGUUUUCUGAUUCUCACCAAUGUUUAUUCUCCCUUUUAAAUUACUUUUUCCCACUCUGAUGCACAAACCUUGAAUUGCUACAUUUUUCUGUGGUCUGCUUCUGUUCUUUCAGUCUCUGCAGAAUUGCAACUUUAAUUAAAGUAAAAAGAAAAAAGGUCAAUAUUUAAAAAAUGGUCUAAGUUCUGGAUAUGUUGAUUUCUAGAUUGAUACCACAAUAAUUAUAUUAAGCGAACUAGCAUUUAAGUGGCUGCUCUAACUCUACAUUUUUAAGUCCAAGGUUGAUGUUUGUUCAUACAAUAUGUGCUUAAACUUGACACCAAAUAAAUUGCUCCAGUUUUGCAAUCCGUCCUCUUAAGAACACCUUAACAUUUUUUGUCCUUUGUUAAGAUGGCCACAUGGAUUGGAUUUGACUCAAAUGAAGCUUUCAAGGUGUUGUUUAUCUGGUACAAACAAUGUUCCUGAUGGCAUACUGUGGUCUCCUCUCUUAUCUCUGAAGAACAAAGGCAAUUUGGAUCAAUUUAUCAGAAUAUUCCCAUAUAUUUAUACUUCUCUGAAAGCUGAGAUAUGGCAAAACCAAUCAGUCAAUUCCCUGUCCAUAUUUUAUGUAAAGAAAAUCAACCAAAAAAAAGUGAGCAAGUGUGAGUGCAAAAUAGUAGCUGCUUUUCUUUCCUGUUUGCUGGUUUCCCUGCAGGAACUACUUCUCUCCAGUCUUUUGAGAACUUGGGUAGCUAAAAAAUUAAUGUAAUUGGAACACCUUGGUAUUGCAAGGCUUCCAUUCCUUGCUCGUUUUGCAGCCUGCCAUUUGAAGCAAGACUAAUUUCUGCAGGUGUCUGUGUCAUGUGGUUUGUUCAUAUCUUUUAGAAAUAGAAAAAGAGCUGAACAGUUCCUGCAUGAGGAACAUUAACGCAGAAAUAAAGUUGAAAAGCUCAUCAUGCUGCUGUUGCAAGAAGGCUUGGAGUUCCCAAACUGUCCUGUAGCAGGAUAAAUACUGGUUAUAAAUGAAGAGGGUUCAAAACGCAAUACUCCAUAGCUCACAUGAAGAAAAAUGAAAUAAUUUAAAAAGGUAGACUGGGAAGAGAUGGCAGCCCUGGGAAGUUGCACCUUGUCAGUAGAACUUAUAUCCCUGCCCAAAACCUGCUGUUGCUCAAUGAAGUCAUUCAAAAGUACUGUGCACAGGAAUGCCUUAGCUUACCCAAAAUGCACUCUGCUUUUAAAAUAAAUUUCUGUUCUUAUCUGGGAGAUCACAGUCACCAAACCUAUGUCCAUAAAGGUUCAUACCACACUGUUUCAGAGCACUCUCAUCAGACAGUGCUGCAUUACUAGGUAUAUACAAGGGAUACAGCUGAAGAUCUACCAGCUACUUAGAUUAAUUAUCAUUACUUAGCAAACAGCUGGUAGAUAAUCUAGACAGUAUAAAGGGCAGUGUUGGAACACUUUCACUGUGGGAGAUGGAUCUAUUUGCAUUUGUCUCCUGUUGUGGUUUCUUAGUAUGGCACUUGCUUGCUUGCUUGGAGUGGAGGUAUAUGCUUCCUCUGAGAACAACAAAUUAUGCUUCUAAUAGGUAAAUCUGGAAGCGUAAUUUUUAGACCCACAGAGUGAAAUACUUACUUAUGUACAGAGGCACUUGGAUUUCUUUACAGAAAGAGAAUCAAGCACUUCAUAAAAGGAUGUAAACAGCAGAGAGUUCCUACAGCAUAGCACAAUAUUUGUAGCAGUGUGCUUGAAAACCUAUUUCUCUCCAGAGCCCAAGUUCCCUAGAGAGAUCUAAGGCUAAGGAACCAUCAUUUGGGAGUUAGAAUUAAAAAAAAAAAAAAAAUCACUAUUUUUCAGUAGCACAUUAAUAGCAUUACUCUUUCAAAAAGCCUAAACAGGCUGAUUUUUUUUGAAAGGGGUGGUAUGCACCAUUUAUGAUAACCUUGUGGCUGAACCUAGGAAAGGUGAGCUUGAUUUCCCCUUCCUUUCGUCUCAAAGACUACCUUGGCCACCAGAGCUUCUCAGAUACUCUGACAGAGGCAUUGAAUUCUAGCAAUAGAAAGGUUAACGUAUAAAUGGCCUUAUGUUCACUGCUCUAGUCAGAAAUGCUUCUUGGAAUGCCAGGACAUUAUGCCGUUGUGAGUUUCUGACUUCAUCCAGCAUCAGAUAAACAGAAUUUGUAUGCUGCAAAAUAGUGAUCAACCUUAAUUUUGUCAUGUGGCUUUUAUGUUGGGAUGUAAAAAUUGCACUCCAAAAACUCAGCUUUACCUACUUAAAACAUACUAUCAUACCUUAAUAAAAACUGCCUCCCACUUAAACAGAGAUUUUUUUUCUUUAUUUUUUAGCUGUGAAACAGCUAGGAUGCUGCAGAUGUCACAGGAAAAAUGAUUAAUAAUCAUCAUCAUGAGUAAGAGCAAAAGGGCAAACGAUGGCCCCAGAUCAGUUCUGGAUCCUAUUUUUGGCUGACAAAAGCAAGUCAUAAGUCUGACAGGUUUAAUAAACUGGUAUUGGUGUUGAAGAUUUUGUUUCAAGAUUGUUUUAGUUGGAUAGAGAAGUAUAUGUAUUUUAUCAAAAAAUUGCCAAUAAAAGCAAUAG
ensembl:lncRNA